rnacentral:rRNA from 1 species
GAUAAACGCUGGCGGCGUGCUUAACACAUGCAAGUCGAACGAAGUUUUUCCUUCGGGAGACACUUAGUGGCGGACGGGUGAGUAACGCGUGGGUAACCUGCCCUGUACAGGGGGACAACAGCUGGAAACGGCUGCUAAUACCGCAUAAGCCCUUAGCACUGCAUGGUGCAUAGGGAAAAGGAGCAAUCCGGUACAGGAUGGACCCGCGUCUGAUUAGCCAGUUGGCAGGGUAACGGCCUACCAAAGCGACGAUCAGUAGCCGAUCUGAGAGGAUGUACGGCCACAGUGGGACUGAGACACGGCCCAGACUCCUACGGGAGGCAGCAGUGGGGAAUAUUGCACAAUGGAGGAAACUCUGAUGCAGCGACGCCGCGUGAGUGAAGAAGUAUUUCGGUAUGUAAAGCUCUAUCAGCAGGGAAGAAAAUGACGGUACCUGACUAAGAAGCACCGGCUAAAUACGUG